AGCGAACGCUGGCGGCAGGCCUAACACAUGCAAGUCGAACGGAUCCUUCGGGAUUAGUGGCGGACGGGAGAGUAACACGUGGGAACGUGCCCUUUGGUUCGGAACAACUCAGGGAAACUUGAGCUAAUACCGGAUGUGCCCUUCGGGGGAAAGAUCUAUCGCCAUUGGAGCGGCCCGCGUCUGAUUAGCUAGUUGGUGAGGUAAGGCUCACCAAGGCGACGAUCAGUAGCUGGUCUGAGAGGAUGAUCAGCCACAUUGGGACUGAGACACGGCCCAAACUCCUACGGGAGGCAGCAGUGGGGAAUCUUGCGCAAUGGGCGAAAGCCUGACGCAGCCAUGCCGCGUGAAUGAUGAAGGUCUUAGGAUUGUAAAAUUCUUUCACCGGGGACGAUAAUGACGGUACCCGGAGAAGAAGCCCCGGCUAACUUCGUGCCAGCAGCCGCGGUAACAC
rnacentral:rRNA from 1 species